UACGGGGGGGGCAAGCGUUGUUCGGAUUUACUGGGCGUAAAGGGCGCGUAGGCGGUCGUGACAGGGCACUUGGGAAAUCUCCGGGCUUAACUCGGAACGGUCAAGUGAUACUGUCGGACUAGAGUACAGAAGGGGCAACUGGAAUUCUCGGUGUAGCGGUGAAAUGCGUAGAUAUCGAGAGGAACACCUGCGGCGAAGGCGGGUUGCUGGGCUGAUACUGACGCUGAGGCGCGAAAGCCAGGGGAGCGAACGGG
rnacentral:rRNA from 1 species